AUUGAACGCUGGCGGCAGGCCUAACACAUGCAAGUCGAGCGGAUGAAGGGAGCUUGCUCCUGUAUUCAGCUGCGGACGGGUGAGUAAUGCCUAGGAAUCUGCCUGGUAGUGGGGGAUAACGUCCGGAAACGGGCGCUAAUACCGCAUACGUCCUGAGGUAGAAAGUGGGGGAUCUUCGGACCUCACGCUAUCAGAUGAGCCUAGGUCGGAUUAGCUAGUUGGUGUGGUAAAGGCCUACCAAGGCGACGAUCCGUAACUGGUCUGAGAGGAUGAUCAGUCACACUGGAACUGAGACACGGUCCAGACUCCUACGGGAGGCAGCAGUGGGGAAUAUUGGACAAUGGGCGAAAGCCUGAUCCAGCAAUGCCGCGUGUGUGAAGAAGGUCUUCGGAUUGUAAAGCACUUUAAGUUGGGAGGAAGAGCAGUAAGUUAAUACAUUGAUGUUUUGACGUUACCAAAAGAAUAAGCACCGGCUAACUUCGUG
rnacentral:rRNA from 1 species